rnacentral:rRNA from 1 species
AUUGAACGCUGGCGGCAUGCCUUACACAUGCAAGUCGAACGGCAGCGGACCUUCGGGUGCCGGCGAGUGGCGAACGGGUGAGUAAUGCAUCGGAACGUGCCAUUGAGUGGGGGAUAACGUAGCGAAAGUUGCGCUAAUACCGCAUAUUCUGUGAGCAGGAAAGCAGGGGACCGCAAGGCCUUGCGCUCUUUGAGCGGCCGAUGUCAGAUUAGCUAGUUGGUGAGGUAACGGCUUACCAAGGCGACGAUCUGUAGCGGGUCUGAGAGGAUGAUCCGCCACACUGGAACUGAGACACGGUCCAGACUCCUACGGGAGGCAGCAGUGGGGAAUUUUGGACAAUGGGGGCAACCCUGAUCCAGCCAUGCCGCGUGAGUGAAGAAGGCCUUCGGGUU